rnacentral:lncRNA from 1 species
CUGUCAUCCUAAGUAAGUUGUUCUAUUUUGUGUCGAAAACUUCUCAAAAGUUGAGACUCCUGAUGGGGGCCCCAGUCCUUGCGGUGAUAGAGUUUUCUGUACCUCGACCGCUGUCCGUUUUCCAAUCGUAGCUGUCAUGGUCCGUUUCCUUCCUUUUUCCUUUUCGCUCAGAAUUUUCCUCCGCUGAAGUCAAUGCAAAGUUUGGCUCCCGUGGGAGUCCGGACGGAACCCUUCUGUGAUUAGAGUCGUGGGCGGAACCCGGCUCCCGUAGGAGUCCGGAUGAGUUGAAGUUGUCGGCGAAGUCCGGCUCCCGUAGG